CUGGCAAACUCAUGCAAGUCUCUAAAACGAUGCUGUAGAGUAGAGAGUGUGAGCCAUGCGAUGGGGGGCCGUCCAUAUAUUACGUCAUCAAACAUUUGUGUUUUUACACCAACCUAACAUAUACAUAUGGAAUUUUAAUAUAGUGAAUUUUGACACGGAAAAAAAUUUCAUAAUUGUCAUAAUUUUCCACCCACUCACUAAAAAGAUGACGUAAUAUAUGGACGUCCCCUAAGCUGCAUUCUCUUUGUUAGAGUGAGAGUUUUUUCUCUCUGGUUGCCAUGGGGAUUUAGAGAGAGAGAAGAAUAAGAGAGAGUUUUGUGGAGUUGUUAUAUUAUGCCAUUCAGUUAAGUAAUAAUGAGAGUUAUGAAAGUUUUGAUGAUUUUUUUUGUGAUUGACGAGUGGUUAUUUUUUGAGUUUUUUAAAAAGUUUUGCCAUUUUUGCUCAGAACAAGUGGUGAUUUGCCAAAUUUAUCCGAGGCGGUUCUGAUGAAUUACUCGGGGUGGUAUUAUCCAUCUCCAUUUUUUCCCGGAAAAAUGUAAAAUUAUGACAUUAUACAUGGUCAAAAAGGGGGGGGGGCGUAGCUUGGACUCAGUAAACAGGGGUCUCAAAUGGCUAUCCAGAGUGGGCAGCCGACGUCUAUGAACUAGGACGUCGAUUAGAUUAGACCGUGAAUGGCUAGAGUUUAAAGGCAUUUUUAAGUUUGAAUUCUAUCAGGUUUGUCCAAGUCUGUUGGGAUCCCUGAUGGAAGUCUCAUAUAGUGGAGGCUGUAGUGCCCAGAUGACCCCGGGACCAUCACACAGCCAUGGAUACCAUGGGUGACCUCCCGCUCUCUCCGUCCGGGAUGCGGUCGCGUUUCUUCCUCAAAUACCUGAUUCAGCCCGAGUCCUGAUUUUCUCAGAUGAGCCAAAUUUUUGCCAAAUAAAAAUAUUUUUACAGAACCCCAAAUAAUAAAAGGUCCAUCACGUUUUAGCAUUUUCGACGUUUUUUUCAUCACCGAUCCCCAACAGACGGACAACUACGAGACAACACAAGCCCCGAGUCGGCUUAACUAAUUUAUUUUUUUAGAUUCCUUGAUUUUUUUUAUAUUUUUAAAUUGAUUGACAAAAUCAUGCCAACCUCAAAGUUCUCGACCUGGGCUAAAAAUCAAUUUUUAUAAAAUCCCAAUUUCUAAAAUCCAACGCUAAAGCCUACACGCUCCAAACGUGUUACAAACGCUAUUGACUAAAGACUACUGCCCCGUGAAAUCGCUAUAGUAACCUAUCACCUCCCAAGAUUAGUUGGGUUCAAUAAAACCAUGAGCAAUAGAUCACUUAAUGCCAAGAAUUGCAACAAAGAAAUGACUCCAUGACCAGAGUCAAACGUGGGUAGCCGCAAACGCUCCAAUUGAAAGGCCACAGAAGGGUAAUAACGUUGAGCACCUGAUCUGCAACCACUCGUUGGUCACCAUGUCUCUUUCCAGGAAAGUUCUCUUAACAUCGUAUGAGAAAUCCACUAUAUAUAAACUGCCAAUAGUUCCUAUAAAUUAAUCCUUCAACUUUCUUCAUUUAGCCCGAGUCAGAAUCACUAUUUUACAAUUAUUGUAAAAUUGUAAAAUAAUUAUUAUUCUCCACGAUUUCCUUGCAUGGUGGAUGGCCGGGGACCACGUGUUUUUAGCUCAUUGAUCGACCAGUACCGGUGGCAACGCUUCUUGACCCGUGACCACACACAGCCAUCGAGGUUUUCUCCACGAAGAGUGGGACCGUAGGGAUCCGCUGAGAUGCGAUGCGGUCGUCAAAUUUUUCCAUACAAAUCUUGUCCGACUACCGCGAAGAAAACUCAUGCUCUCCGAGUGAUGGAUCCUUCUAAUCGCCUCCGCCAGCAAAAUCGAAAUAUCCACCGUUUUGAUCUUGACACACUGUAAUUUUUGAGUAUCGUGGGGAACCGUGUUCGUGACGACGACUUGGUCCACGGGGGAGGAUUCUAGUAAAGAAGGGGCGUCAGAGGACAUCAGACCGUGGGUGC